CGGCCAUAGCACGUUGAAACAUCGAUUCCCGUCCGAUAAUCGACGUCAAACAACAUUGAACCUGGUCAGUACCUAGAUUGGGGACCGCUCAGGAAUAGCAGGUGCUGUAA